rnacentral:rRNA from 1 species
GCUCUAAUAGCGUAUAUUAAAGUUGUUGCAGUUAAAAAGCUCGUAGUUGAAUUUCGGGCUCAGCAAGUUGGUCUACCUUGGUGGUACUGGUAUUGUUGGGCCUUACCUUCUGGGGAACCAAGGUGAUCUUAACUGAUUGCUUUGGGGAACCAGGACCUUUACUUUGAAAAAAUUAGAGUGUUUAAAGCAGGCUUACGCUU